GGCCCCUUAGAUCAAUUGGAUAGAUCGUCUGACUUCGAAUCAGAAGGUUGGGAGUUCGAGUCUCUCAGGGGCCGCCA
rnacentral:tRNA from 3 species